GGCAGAGGAGGGCGACGAGGGGAGGAGGGCGCGACGGGCGGAGGACGGAGCGGCGAGCGCAGCGAGGACAACCCCAGCGCGCGCAGGAGGCCCCAAACCCUAGCGAAGCAGCGAGGGGGAGAGAAGUGAGGCUGGGGGAGAUGACCCCUCGCUCCUGGGCUGCACGGGCGGGUGCAGCGGGACCGCAUGCGUUCGGCCUGGCCGACGAGAGAAGCUCGAUUCCACCGUUU
rnacentral:lncRNA from 1 species